rnacentral:rRNA from 1 species
GCGUGAGUGAUGAAGGCCUUAGGGUUGUAAAGCUCUUUUGCCCGGGAAGAUAAUGACGGUACCGGGAGAAUAAGCCCCGGCUAACUCCGUGCCAGCAGCCGCGGUAAUACGGAGGGGGCUAGCGUUGUUCGGAAUUACUGGGCGUAAAGCGCACGUAGGCGGCUUCGCAAGUCAGAGGUGAAAGCCCGGGGCUCAACCCCGGAACUGCCUUUGAGACUGCGUCGCUCGAAUCCGGGAGAGGCGGGUGGAAUUCCGAGUGUAGAGGUGAAAUUCGU